rnacentral:rRNA from 1 species
AUGGAGCCGACCUUGAAAUACCACCCUUUAAUGUUUGAUGUUCUAACGUUGACCCGUAAUCCGGGUUGCGGACAGUGUCUGGUGGGUAGUUUGACUGGGGCGGUCUCCUCCUAAAGAGUAACGGAGGAGCACGAAGGUUGGCUAAUCCUGGUCGGACAUCAGGAGGUUAGUGCAAUGGCAUAAGCCAGCUUGACUGCGAGCGUGACGGCGCGAGCAGGUGCGAAAGCAGGUCAUAGUGAUCCGGUGGUUCUGAAUGGAAGGGCCAUCGCUCAACGGAUAAAAGGUACUCCGGGGAUAACAGGCUGAUACCGCCCAAGAGUUCAUAUCGACGGCGGUGUUUGGCACCUCGAUGUCGGCUCAUCACAUCCUGGGGCUGAAGUAGGUCCCAAGGGUAUGGCUGUUCGCCAUUUAAAGUGGUACGCGAGCUGGGUUUAGAACGUCGUGAGACAGUUCGGUCCCUAUCUGCCGUGGGCGCUGGAGAACUGAGGGGGGCUGCUCCUAGUACGAGAGGACCGGAGUGGACGCAUCACUGGUGUUCGGGUUGUCAUGCCAAUGGCACUGCCCGGUAGCUAAAUGCGGAAGAGAUAAGUGCUGAAAGCAUCUAAGCACGAAACUUGCCCCGAGAUGAGUUCUCCCUGACCCUUUAAGGGUC